rnacentral:rRNA from 1 species
UGGUAGGUGAACCUGCCGUUGGAUCAGU